AACCGACUAAUGUUGAAAAAUUAGCGGAUGACUUGUGGCUGGGGGUGAAAGGCCAAUCAAACCGGGAGAUAGCUGGUUCUCCCCGAAAGCUAUUUAGGUAGCGCCUCGUGAAUUCAUCUCCGGGGGUAGAGCACUGUUUCGGCAAGGGGGUCAUCCCGACUUACCAACCCGAUGCAAACUGCGAAUACCGGAGAAUGUUAUCACGGGAGACACACGGCGGGUGCUAACGUCCGUCGUGAAGAGGGAAACAACCCAGACCGCCAGCUAAGGUCCCAAAGUCAUGGUUAAGUGGGAAACGAUGUGGGAAGGCCCAGACAGCCAGGAUGUUGGCUUAGAAGCAGCCAUCAUUUAAAGAAAGCGUAAUAGCUCACUGGUCGAGUCGGCCUGCGCGGAAGAUGUAACGGGGCUAAACCAUG
rnacentral:rRNA from 1 species